rnacentral:lncRNA from 1 species
ACAUAUCACACACACAUACACAUAAAUCACACACAUACACAUAAAUCACACACAGGCACACACAACACAAUCACGUAUCACACAUACAAACACACACAUCAGACGCACACAGAAACACACACACAUCAUAUAUCACACACAUUACACACAUCACACACACACACAUCACACACACAUUAUACACACACGCAUCACAAACAUAUAUAUAUAUACUAAUCACACACACAUCACACACACACACACAUCACAUCACACACAUAUAACAUCACACACACAUAGAGAAACACACACACACAUCACAUCACACACAUAUCACAUCACACACACAUAGAGAAACGCACACACACAUCACACUCACAGAGACAG